rnacentral:misc_RNA from 1 species
AAAGUCGUAACAAGGUUUCCGUAGGUGAACCUGCGGAAGGAUCAUUACAUUCAGUACUUUCGGGGCUUGUAAGUCUAUAUCACUAUAGCAUGCCUCUGUCUGAACCCUUGUCUUUUGCGUACUUAUGUUUCCUCGGCGGGCCUGCCCGCCGUUGGACAACCUAAAAACCUUUUUAAUUUUCAAUCAGCGUCUGAACAAACAUAAUAAUUACAACUUUCAACAACGGAUCUCUUGGUUCUG